UGAAUUAACAUUUUUAGCGCUUGGAAUAGUUUCAACAUCCUAUGUUUAAUAUGGAUUAGAAGAUUGCAGUACAGCAGAUCUUUCAAGCCAUGAUGAAACAUGAAUUAUCGUUUUUAGCACUUGGGAAAAUUUGGACAUCCCAUGUUGAAAUUUGACUAGACAAUACUGAUAAUAAUAAUAAUAAUAAUGGUAUUUUGCAUGUAUAGCAGAUCUUUCAAGGCUCGCUGAAACCUGAAUUAACAUUUUUACCACAUUGAAAAGUUUCAACAUCCUACAUUUAUAUUGGACUAGAAGAUUCCGAUAAAUCUAAUAAUUUUAUGCAAUUCACUUUUAUUAUUUUAUGGUUAAAUUCA